rnacentral:lncRNA from 1 species
AGUGACACGAUUACCUGGGGGACUGACGGGUGCAUACACAUGUGGGAUUGCCUGGAUUCGGAGCAAGUUGAUGUCUAUUCUGUCCUUGGGAGCAACACAGACAAGCCACCAUGCAGAAGGAGUCCUCCAGGAAAGGUAAGGGCUGGGGCCCUGCUCUUACAGAGUUCCCUUACACACUGGGCAUGUGAGGAAAACCUC